GGCUGGUUAGCUCAGUCAGUUGAGUAUGGCGAUAACAACGCUAAGGUCGCGGGUUCGAUUCCCAUUCGGUCC
rnacentral:tRNA from 1 species